UACGGGGGGGGCAAGCGUUGUUCGGAAUUACUGGGCGUAAAGGGCUCGUAGGCGGCCAACUAAGUCAGACGUGAAAUCCCUCGGCUUAACCGGGGAACUGCGUCUGAUACUGGAUGGCUUGAAUCCGGGAGAGGGAUGCGGAAUUCCAGGUGUAGCGGUGAAAUGCGUAGAUAUCUGGAGGAACACCGGUGGCGAAGGCGGCACCCUGGGCCGGCAUUGACGCUGAGGAGCGAAAGCCAGGGGAGCAAACGGG
rnacentral:rRNA from 1 species